AAAGGCACCUGAAGGACAAUGAGAAACAAAAUUCUCUGGUCUCAUGAGACAAAGAUUGAACUUCUUGCCUGAAUGCCAGGUGUUAUGUUCAGAGGAAACCACGCACCAUCCCUACAGUGAAGCAUGGUGGUGGCAGCAUCAUGCUUGAUUGGACAUGA